AAUGUCUCAAUUAUUCCCAUUUCCUUCCUUCAUUCAUUUCAUCCCCAAAUCAAUUCGUCUCUCCUCUCUCCUCUCUCAUCAACGAUCUCUUCUCCUCUUUCAUUUACGACUUGUUCCCCAAAUUGAAUCCCUCUCCCACCCACGAAGAGUAACAUACAGAGCCAACCAGAAAUCCAGAUGACAUCCAUUGACGAAGAAUAAGGUAGAGCCAACCGUAAAUCGAGGCGACAACCUGAAAAAUCCACACAUCCGAUCGCGGGCAAAACGAGAAAUUCGAUGGCAGGCAAGAAUAGGGAAAUAUGUCAUUGUUGUCAACAGAGGGGACAUACACUGUUGGAAUGCCCGACAAAGAGAAGAUGCCCAAAUUGUGGUGACGGGUUCGUUAAGUAAAUGGAGGUCGAAAAGAAUAAUGACCAUAAAGGAUUGUUGUUUCAUUGUUGUACCCAUGAUUGUAGGUACUUCAAGUGGUGCAACAAAUUCCCCGACGAAAAGUGUCCGUUGCAUGACGAUGGUGAAUUAAGUUGCAUCACAACUACAAGUGAGGAAGCGGAUACUUAGUCGCAUAUGUUGAAAACACUCGCUAAGCUAAGCGAGGAGAAAGACCUAGAGAUUUUCCUCCAAAUAAACAUGCGCAAAGGAAAACAAGUUUCAGAAAAUAGGUUUGUAUGUAGAGAUUGUUUGGGACUAAAAAGUGAAAGUCUCUUAACUGUUUGUAAUGAUGCAUGUAUAAAUGGUAAGCAACUAUGUUAUUGUGGUGCCUGUUUUUUUUGCUA